UACAGAGGGUGCGAGCGUUAAUCGGAAUUACUGGGCGUAAAGCGUGCGUAGACGGCUAUCUAAGUCGGGUGUGAAAGCCCCGGGCUCCACCUGGGAAUUGCAUUCGAGACUGAAUAGCUAGGGUACGGUAGAGGGAAGUGGAAUUUCCGGUGUAGCGGUGAAAUGCGUAGAUAUCGGAAGGAACACCAGUGGCGAAAGCGGCUUCCUGGUCCAGCACCGACGUCAGGCACGAAAGCGUGGGGAGCAAAC
rnacentral:rRNA from 1 species